rnacentral:rRNA from 1 species
UACAGAGGGUGCAAGCGUUGUUCGGAAUUAUUGGGCGUAAAGAGCGUGUAGGCGGCCAUACAGGUCCGUUGUGAAAACUCGAGGCUUAACCUCGAGACGUCGAUGGAAACCGUAUGGCUAGAGUCCGGAAGAGGAGAGUGGAAUUCCUGGUGUAGCGGUGAAAUGCGCAGAUAUCAGGAAGAACACCCGUGGCGAAGGCGGCUCUCUGGGACGGUACUGACGCUGAGACGCGAAAGCGUGGGGAGCGAACAGG